UACGUAGGGACCAAGCGUUGUUCGGAUUUACUGGGCGUAAAGGGCGCGUAGGCGGCGUGGUAAGUCACUUGUGAAAUCUCUGAGCUUAGCUCAGAACGGCCAAGUGAUACUGCUGUGCGUAGAGUGCAGAAGGGGCAAUCGGAAUUCUUGGAUGUAGCGGUGAAAUGCGUAGAUAUCAAGAGGAACACCUGAGGUGAAGACGGGUUGCUGGGCUGACACUGACGCUGAGGCGCGAAAGCCAGGGGAGCAAACGGG
rnacentral:rRNA from 1 species